GUGGGGAAUAUUGGACAAUGGGCGAAAGCCUGAUCCAGCCAUGCCGCGUGUGUGAAGAAGGUCUUCGGAUUGUAAAGCACUUUAAGUUGGGAGGAAGGGCAGUAAGUUAAUACCUUGCUGUUUUGACGUUACCGACAGAAUAAGCACCGGCUAACUUCGUGCCAGCAGCCGCGGUAAUACGAAGGGUGCAAGCGUUAAUCGGAAUUACUGGGCGUAAAGCGCGCGUAGGUGGUUUUGUAAGUUGGAGGUGAAAUCCCCGGGCUCAACCUGGGAACUGCCUCAAAAACUGCAUGACUAGAGUACGGUAGAGGGUAGUGGAAUUUCCUGUGUAGCGAUGAAAUGCGUAGAUAUAGGAAGGAACACCAGUGGCGAAGGCGACUACCUGGACUGAUACUGACACUGAGGUGCGAAAGCGUGGGGAGCAAACAGGAUUAGAAACCCCUGUAGUCC
rnacentral:rRNA from 1 species